rnacentral:misc_RNA from 1 species
UCCCUGUUACCAGGGCAGUCUAGCUAGAGAAAUUCAACUAACUAAAAGGGUUGCGCUCGUUGAUGGACUUAACCAAACAUCUCACGACACGAGCUGACGACGGCCAUGCAACACCUGUCACUUGGUUCCCGAAGGCACACUCUGCUUUCGCAGUGCUUCCAAGGAUGUCAAGCCUGGGUAAGGUUCUUCGCUUACCAUCGAAUUAAACAACACGCUCCACCGCUUGUGCGGGUCCCCGUCAAUUCCUUUAUGUUUUAGUCUUGCGACCGUACUCCACAGGCGGGAUGCUUAACGCGUUAGCUUCGCUACAUGAGGGGUCGAUACCUCAUACAGCUAGCAUCCAUAGUUUACGGCGUGGACUAC